UGCUUCUUCUGACACCUGGCUCUUUUUUUUCCACACUGGAUUCUUGUCACAAUAAGGCUGUUCUGUGUCAUGACCCAGACUUUCCUGAGCAAACUCUUCACCAGCAAUCAUGGGCUGUGUCUACCCAGUGCUGUCAGCUCAAGACCGUGUCGCUAGGACCAAAGGGAACUUCUUAGAGAUCACAUGUCAGAACAGUGACCCUGAUACAAUGGUGAGUGAGUCCACUUCUUCACUUCUGCUGUGUUCAGGCACGGAGCAGAUAUUUUACCUUAAUGGCCUCCAUAUGGGAAGAAUAUGACCAAACGCUUUGUUGGAAGAACUAUCUCCAACCCUGGGGGACCAGAGUGAGAAGGCAUAAAAUGCAGCAAGGGAGGCAGAAGGACCAUUGACCACAGCCUGUGGUAUGGCUGGGACAUGAGAAUGCUGAGCAAAAGAGAGGCAGUUCACCUGGGCGCUGAGCAGGCUUCCUGGAGGAGGUGGCCUAGAAAAUGCACUUAUGGAG
rnacentral:lncRNA from 1 species